UGGCUUCACACCUUGAUCCACGUUGCAAUUUUAACUGCCCAUUGCGGGUUCGUACAAAAAAACGAGUAAAGGCCGCUGAUGAAAACAGAAGAGCAAUUGGGAGAUUGAUCAAAAACAGACCGGGGGGUCAUGACCCAAACAGAAACAGGAACACUUGAGAAAUUCAAUGGGGUUCAUUGCAUUUGAGUCUUCUCUGGCCCAUAUGUUUGGUUUAGUUUGGUUUCUUAGACAAAUUGGCGGAGUUGAUGCAGAGAGAAUGAAUUUGGGUAAAGUAUAAUGGUCAGCAGUGGCUUAGUUUCCCAUCUUUGAUAUUUUGAUCAUUAUUUAUUUUCCCGUUUCAUAAUCCUCCUCUAUAAACUUUGUUUCUUUUACCAGCAUUUCAUGUUGCAUUGUUUAGUUUUGGAUGAACUAGAAUUCAUUCUUUUCGUUUAAACUUCUCUAUAGUGCUUAAUUUACUUGGUAUGUAGCUUUUGCUUUAUCUCUCGGUGCAUUGACAAUGUUGGAGGUGACUGCUUCUUUGAAUUUCAAUUUCAAUUGUCCCAUACGGUUUAUACAAAAGGAGGAAAGCAGAUAACCAGCCAAGAAUAAUGAUAAGUCUCUCUUGAACAUUUUUCACUGUUCUGUCCGUAAUUUUGAUUUCAGGUGUGUUUUUGUUUAUUUCAUUUGUUCUCCAUUGCACCAAUUUGUAUAUAUAUAUUUUUUUUUUCUCUUUUUUUUUUUUGUGUGUCACUACUUUGGGUUAUGCAGAUACGGUACGUUGUUGCUAUGUCAGGUACUCCUCUUCCUUACCUUCUGUUUUGUUGACCAAAAAGGUCUGAAUAAGCAAACAUCAGUUUUGUUAUGUUUCUAUGGAGAAUAUGAGUCUAGGGAAUUGUCUUCAGUUCUGUCAUCAGUUUUUUUUUUUUUUUGUU